CCCCCUUUUCUCUCUCUCUUGCUCUCUCUCUCUCUCUCUCUCUCUCUCUCUCUCUCUCUCUCUGUCUCAUCAUUGUAAAUGUGUUAUGAAUGCAUGGGGCAUCUUAGACUGAGUUCCAGACAUUUAGGUUCCCAUAUAUCUAUUUGGCUGAUACUGCAUAAAAAGAACUGGCUGUGGAUGGAGUAGAUUGUUGAAUUCUUGUCUGAAAAAAAUGACAAAUGUUUCAAAUGCAUGAUACAUGAUGUAAAAUAGAUUCUGUCCUUCCUGGAUAAGGAUACAUACUUUGUGGAGCUGCUUUUGCAAACAGACCCCUCUCAUGGUUGAAGGAGAGAACCUCAGGGAUCACUACUCACAUCAGUGGGUUGAGGUUUUGGGACUUCAGGAACACAUUGGACACAGCUUGACAAAAAUUGUGAAGUCACUGUGGAAACCUAUUCUGAAGUCCUCUAAGAUGCAUGUCCUGUUAUUUUGAAGCCAAAGUGAGCCAGUGAAAACACUCAAAGGAAGAGAACAUAGUCAACUUCUUCUGCAUCCUCUAGUGGGGGGAUGUCUUUGGAUGUCAUUGCUGAGGUGGAAGUGAUGACUAGUCUGAUUUUGAGGAUUCAAAAUGGCUUCUCUGAAGUCUGACAUCUUGAGGGGCUCUUAUGCGACUCUUGACUUGAGUACCACCCUAAGGCAUUUCCUGUAUGGUGACUUCAGGUGGUCAGAUUCACUUUGUGCCCAGGAUACUAAGAGUAAAUAUUACAGAAAAUAAAGUGAAAUUGUGUCCUUUUCUGAUUUAA